UACGUAGGGACCAAGCGUUGUUCGGAUUUACUGGGCGUAAAGGGCGCGUAGGCGGCGCGGUAAGUCACUUGUGAAAUCUCUGAGCUUAACUCAGAACGGCCAAGUGAUACUGCAGUGCUAGAGUGUGGAAGGGGCAAUCGGAAUUCUUGGUGUAGCGGUGAAAUGCGUAGAUAUCAAGAGGAACACCUGAGGUGAAGACGGGUUGCUGGGCCAACACGUGACGCUGAGGCGCGAAAGCCAGGGGAGCAAACAGG
rnacentral:rRNA from 1 species